GAAUGGUGAGGAAGAGUCAUGAGGAUGGAUUGCGGUCGCGUGGAGAACAGAAAAAAGAAAGAGAAAACAAGAAUGGAAGGACGUGGACCGGAUUAAGGAAAAGAAAAAUUAAAGAGGAAACUAAUUCUUUUUAUUAUUGCUUAAACAAUAAUCCUUUUUUUAAAAUUUCUAAUAAACUCAAAUUUAUAAACAAAUGUUAAGCAUUACAUUCAUCUAUUCAAACAAUCCAUAUAAUCAAGGGUAUCCAUGACAUUUGAUUUAUCACAGCCAUUCCUAAAAACACAAUAUAGAAG
rnacentral:lncRNA from 1 species